rnacentral:tRNA from 1 species
GGUCCCGUAGUGUAGCGGUUAUCACGUCGCCCUGUCACGGCGAAGAUCGCGGGUUCGAUUCCCCGUCGGGACCG